rnacentral:rRNA from 1 species
AGAGUUUGAUCCUGGCUCAGAUUGAACGCUGGCUGCACGCUUAACACAUGCAAGUCGAACGGCAGCACAACCCUACGCAAGUAGGGUGGGUGGCGAGUGGCGGACGGGUGAGGAAUACAUAGAGACUUACCCUGGAGAGGGGGAUAACCUAGGGAAACUUAGGCUAAUACCGCGUAAGCUCGGGAGAGGAAAGCUGGGGACCGCAAGGCCUGGCGCUCUAGGAGAGGUCUAUGUCAGAUUAGCUAGUUGGUGGGGUAAAGGCCUACCAAGGCGACGAUCUGUAGCUGGUCUGAGAGGACGGACAGCCACACUGGGACUGAGACACGGCCCAGACUCCUACGGGAGGCAGCAGUGGGGAAUAUUGGACAAUGGGGGAAACCCUGAUCCAGCGAUGCAGCGUGUGUGAAGAAGGCCUGCGGGUUGUAAAGCACUUUCGGUAGAGAAGAAGUUCUUUGGUUAAAUAUCCCAAAGAGUUGACGUACCUACAGAAGAAGAC